rnacentral:rRNA from 1 species
GACGAACGCUGGCGGCGUGCUUAACACAUGCAAGUCGAACGAAGUGGCGAACGGGUGAGUAACGCGUAAUAAACCUGCCCUUCAGAGGGGGACAACAGUUGGAAACGACUGCUAAUACCGCAUACUGAAGGAGGGGAUUGCGUCUGAUUAGCUAGUUGGAGGGGUAACGGCACACCAAGUCGAUGAUCAGUAGCAGGUCUGAGAGAAUGAUCGGCCAUAUUGGGACGGAUAAACGGCCCAGACUCCUACGGGAGGCAGCAGUUGGGAAUCUUCCGAAAUGGACUAAAGUCUGACUGAGCAACGCCGCGUGAGUGAUGACGGCCUUCGGGUUGUAAAGCUCUGUUAAUCGGGACGCGGUACCGGAAUAGAAAGCCACGGCUAACUACGUGCCAGCAGCCGCGGUAAUAC